GAGUGCGUGGAGGGUAAAAGCCAGUCAGUCAGUGAGAAGCAAAGAUCAACCACCUCAGAAGAGCCAGAUUCCACUUCUGUGGCCAGGACUUUUACAUUAUGGCUGGUCCGAUUGUUUUACCCUGCGUUCUAUGCUACUAAACCUUGGAUCAUUCCUAAAGUACAAAUUCUGUUCUCGAACCACAAACAAGGCUAAAAGAUCGGAGGAAAUUCAGUGAAUAUACAGGAUUGGGGUGUCUGAUGAUUUGUGAGCCUCAAGUGACUACUCUGUGGAAUCAUCUGUCCUUGCCUUUGAAUUAGCUUUCCCUAGGCCAUGAGUCAACAUUAGUAGUUUAUACAUCCAAAUUGAUGACAAGAGCACCUCAAAGGCAGCAGCCUCAAGGAGCAGCCAUGGCCCCAGACUUGUCGCACGGAUGCAGAAAACUUAAUGGAGGAGGCUGAGCAAAACAGAGCGUGACACU
rnacentral:lncRNA from 1 species